GAUGAACGCUAGCGGCAGGCUUAACACAUGCAAGUCGAGGGGCAGCGCGAUGUAGCAAUACAUUGGCGGCGACCGGCGCACGGGUGCGUAACACGUAUGGAACUUACCCUUUACUGGGAGAUAGCCCGGAGAAAUCCGGAUUAAUAUCCCAUAAUAAACGAAGUGGCAUCACUUUGUUUUGAAAGCUCCGGCGGUAAAGGAUGGCCAUGCGCACGAUUAGCUAGUAGGUGGGGUAACGGCUCACCUAGGCUACGAUCGUUAGGGGGCCUGAGAGGGUUAUCCCCCACACUGGUACUGAGACACGGACCAGACUCCUACGGGAGGCAGCAGUGAGGAAUAUUGCGCAAUGGAGGCAACUCUGACGCAGCCAUGCCGCGUGCAGGAAGAAGGCGCUACGCGUUGUAAACUGCUUUUAACCGGGAAGAAACCCUCCGACGUGUCGGAGGUUGACGGUACCGGAGGAAUAAGCACCGGCUAACUUCGUGCCAGCAGCCG
rnacentral:rRNA from 1 species